GCUUGUCUCAAAGAUUAAGCCAUGCAAGUCUAAGUAUAAGCAAAACUAAUGCAAAACUGCGAAUGGCUCAUUAAAUCAGUUAUCGUUUAUUUGAUAGUACCUUACUACACGGAUAUCUGUGGUAAUUCUAGAGUUAAUACGUGCUAAAAACCCCGACUUCGGGAGGGGUGUAUUUAUUAGACUAAAAACCAACGCCCUUCGGGGCUCCUUGGUGAUUCAUAAUAACUCAACGAAUCGCAUGGCCUUGAGCCGGCGAUGGUUCAUUCAAAUUUCUGCCCUAUCAACUUUCGAUGCUAGGGUAGUGGCCUAGCAUGGUGACAACGGGUAACGGGGGAUUAGGGUUCUAUUCCGGAGAGGGAGCCCGAGAAACGGCUACCACAUCCAAGGAAGGCAGCAGGCGCGCAAAUUACCCAAUCCCGACACGGGGAGGUAGUGACAAUAAAUACUGAUACAGGGCUCUUUUGGGUCUUGUAAUUGGAAUGAGUACGAUUUAAACACCCUAACGAGGAACAAUUGGAGGGCAAGUCUGGUGCCAGCAGCCGCGGUAAUUCCAGCUYCAAUAGCGUAUAUUAAAGUUGUUGCAGUUAAAACGCUCGUCGUUGAACCUUGGGCCUGGGCGAUCGGUCCCCCUCACCGGGAGCACUGGUUCGGCCGGGCCUUUCCUUCUGGGGAUCCGCAUGCCCUUCACUGGGCGUGCCGGGGAACCAGGACUUUUACUUUGAAAAAAUUAGAGUGUUCAAAGCAGGCCUUUGCUCGAAUACCUUAGCAUGGAAUAAUAGAAUAGGACGUGCGGUCCUAUUUUGUUGGUUUCUAGGACCGCCGUAAUGAUUAAUAGGGUCAGUCGGGGGCAUCAGUAUUCAAUUGUCAGAGGUGAAAUUCUUAGAUUUAUUGAAGACUAACUACUGCGAAAGCAUUUGCCAAGGAUGUUUUCAUUAAUCAGUGAACGAAAGUUAGGGGAUCGAAGACGAUCAAGGGCUAUGCACCUUACAUCUGGUCGUCAAUAGCCUGGCAAAAGGCUAGUCUUCUGGUGGCUUUGCUUCUGUCAAAGCUGGCCAGCAAGGCAACAUCAUCAAAUUGCGGGAACACCUUCUCAAGGCUGCGACCCCAAGCAGGUGAGGAAACUCACCUGUGGCCUGUGAAGCGAGUCACAGGGUACGGGAAGAGCGCGCAGCCUUGUCACCUGAGGAUGGUGACUGGAGGAAAUCCGCAGCCAAGUCCUUCCGCUCUCGUUUGAGAUCGAUGGAUGCAGUUCACAGGCCAAAUGUUGAUGGGUGGAGGCGCCGCGAGCCCUCUACUUAAGAUAUGGUCGAGCCGGGAACGCGAGAGCGCCGGAACACUGGUAAACGCAGAUACCGUCGUAGUCCUAACCAUAAACUAUGCCGACUAGGGAUCGGGGUAUACUCAUUUUUGGUUGCCUCGGCACCUUACGAGAAAUCAAAGUGUUUGGGUUCUGGGGGGAGUAUA
rnacentral:precursor_RNA from 1 species